AAGCACCGUUCAUUCAAUCAAUUGCAUAUGUGCACUCGAGCAUAGCUUCCUGGCUGUUCAAAGUGUAAUUUCGGCAAUAUUUAUUAUGGGAAGAUUUUCUCGCGCCGACGUUGUUUUUGUCUUCAGUACGCUCGCACUCCUUCUAUUUUUAACAGAGAAGAGUGGACCUUUCAUGGCACUUGCGUAUCCAAGUUUUGGACCACCGCCGCACGGCAGAUUUCCACCAAAUAUAAUUGUGCGCCCUGACGGACAACCCGUCCCUAUGCCUCCGAGGAGACCCUUGCGAGGAAAUAUUGUAGGUCCCGGCGGGCGCCAGCUGGUGAGGCAAGCCGCAGUAGAUGCACCGGCACCACCCCGCGGACUGCCUAUUAGACAGCCUCGCGCCUAAUACAACACAAACAAUGCACAUGAAUUAUAAGCCAAUAUGACCAAGAGGAGGAGUAAAGGUGGUCGUUCUGAAAGCACAUGGGUCAGCCAGGAGGGGAAAUGCACUCAAUCGGUGGAAGCACGAAGUUGAUAUUUUAGUAAUAGGCGUGUUUAAUUAAAAAGUGUUGGUUUAUUCGUCUCA